GACGAACGCUGGCGGCGUGCUUAACACAUGCAAGUCGAACGGAAAGGCCCUGCUUUUGUGGGGUGCUCGAGUGGCGAACGGGUGAGUAACACGUGAGUAACCUGCCCUUGACUUUGGGAUAACUUCAGGAAACUGGGGCUAAUACCGGAGAGGAGCUCCUGCUGCAUGGUGGGGGUUGGAAAGUUUCGGCGGUUGGGGAUGGACUCGCGGCUUAUCAGCUUGUUGGUGGGGUAGUGGCUUACCAAGGCUUUGGCGGGUAGGCGGCCUGAGAGGGUGACCGGCCACAUUGGGACUGAGAUACGGCACAGACUCCUACGGGAGGCAGCAGUGGGGAAUAUUGCACAAUGGGCGGAAGCCUGAUGCAGCAACGCCGCGUGCGGGAUGACGGCCUUCGGGUUGUAAACCGCUUUCGCCUGUGACGAAGCGUGAGUGACGGUAAUGGGUAAAGAAGCACCGGCUAACUACGUG
rnacentral:rRNA from 1 species